AGUCACGCGCCUCUAUCGGACUGCACGCGAAUCGCUUACGUGAGUCGACGCGUUUUCAAACGUUCAUCUACAGAAUAUAGUUCAUAGACUGCUUUUCGUAAAUAUAAAUAAACGUCGAGAGAGCAAGUCACACUUGCGCGCGUUUCUCCGUAACAGUCGAAUAACAUCGAAGAGGAAACGAGACUGAACAGCCUAUAUUUCAAUUAUAAAUUUAACACAAAAUCAGAAGAAAUGAUUUCCCAAAAGCGAAGAUUCGACUUAAAGCAAUAUUGUCACCGAAUGAAAAGGAAAACAGGGCAAUUAUUAAUGGAAAUGUGUUAGCUGCAGAUAGUACAGAUGUCAUUUUAAGCUUGAAAGAACGAAGAAAAGGAACAGUUUUAAAAAGCAAAGAUAAUCGCGUGAGUCGUACGUUUGAACGAUGUUUUUCUGGCAAAAAGAUGUCGCUUCAUGUUCAACGUGGCGAUAAAAAUGUUGUUCCAAGAACGAACCUUAGAUUAAAAGGAGGAUCGUGUUUCACAAUCGAGAGGAAAGCCAUGUUCGGAGGAAACGAUCGCAGACAACAACAAUCGUAAGUGAGAUAUGUGUCGUUUCGUACGCCAAUUUAAAUUAUGAAAAAUUGAAGAUCUGAGUACAACAUCGAGAAUGAAACAGCAGCGAAAAAUGAAGGCCCGAAACAAUUACGAAUGGAUAUUUCUGUAAUUUAAAAUACUGUGUCGCAAGAAAUCUAGAUUAGUCCAGCCGAAUGUAAUCUAUGUACAUAAUGCGUUGCGACGUUUGUUUUUGGCCAAUCUGCGCAAGAGGAGUGGUUCUUGCUUUCCACGAUUCUACAAAUAAAAACACGAUCCACAAACUAUUUAAUUCUGUUGUUCCAAUGAACGUAGUAUUUAUGGAAGUUUCGUCUAUAAUAAUAUCAAACAGCUCUAUCGACUGAUACGCAAACAAUUUUUAUCAAUAAAGUCAAUACCUUCGUCGUGUAAACUCCGAGACGAGUCACAGAAGACCUAGAAUCGUUCAUCCUGUGUAAAUCCACAUAUGUGGUGUAUAAUGCAGUCUUUAAUCGAUUCGCGCGAGAAACAUCGUUUUGGAAUGGGAUCGGUUAAUAAACGAGCACAGCUUCAAAGAGAAGAGGAUUGAGAUCGGUUGAAAUUAUAAUUAUUCUACCUUAUAACUAAGGGACAAGGUUAGCCAGAAGAAGGUCGGAAGGAAAGCUUCGACACAUAGCGAAGGUCGCCAAGACAAAAACAGAGAGCGCUGAUUACAAAAACUCUGGUCGACGGUUUGUUGCUACUUUAAACAAUACCUGUGAAGGUCAAGCACUGCUUUUAGUGUACCCGAUGUCAGCUGUACAUCAUGUAACAAUCGAAGAAGCUGUUGGACGUCGUUAUGGUAGAUAUCUAUAUGAAUACAACUUUCACUUCUAUAACAAAGUUAGCUAAAAUUUGGGUCGUACCGAAGGAGCGAGGCAGUUUUCACAAAACAUCAAUUGUGAGCAAAUGUGACUAUUUCAUAACACUUUUUUUCUUACUCGUCGGUUUUUCUUUCUGGAUUAUUGGAUCC